rnacentral:lncRNA from 1 species
AUAAAACAAAAUGCAUUUACCAAGGAAAGAUAAAGCUCUCCUCAAAGUCCCGAAAAAGAAAGAGAAAAACCUACCUUCUUCAUUUUUCCCCAAAAUAGAAACUGAAAGUCCCGUCAAAUUGUUCCAAUGGAGGUGCCCUGUCUAGCCAAGAUGGUCGAUAUCCGAACACAACUCUCCAGGCUUCGCUAACUUUCAACAGCAUUGAUCUCCAUAGCUGUGCUGCCCUAUCUAGCCAAGAUUCUUCUCUUCCAUAGACUGUGGUGCCUAUUUAUUAAGUGUUCUUCUAAUUUCGUUCAACCAUACGAUAAUUUUAUUUGCUCUGAUCACUUAUGUUGUACUUAAAC